ensembl:lncRNA
AUGGCAGUGAGGAUAGAAAAAGUCCCCAUAUGCCUUAUCGACCAUAGAACAGAGUCAAAAACCAAUUAUUUACCAGCACAUGUAUUGAAGCAUCGAGUUUCUUAUUCCUGAACUUUGGACCCACAUAACCAGUUACAAACGUAGAUUUGAUAGUUUCCUAUGAACAUCCUAUAAGAAACAAAUUCAUGUGACUGAGCACACUCAAGGGAGCAAUUAGGCUCAUACCAACUUUUAAUAACAUGAGCCUCAGCUUUCAACAAUAAAAGCCAAAAAAAACAACUCAGUGUCAUUAAGUAGGCUUCACAAAUACACUCGUUACCAUCAGUUUAAAUCAUAGCUAAACUACAUCAGGCCAUAAGCCAUGAUGCCUGUUCUACCUCCUUUUCCAUUUCUCAGCACAUUUGAUUCAGUAUAAAAUAAAACUGACUGGAACAUCUCAAACAGCAGCACUUUCAGCCAAACAAACGGGGGGGAAGAAGGGAGAGCUGAAAGCUGUGCUCUCUGAAGAGAAUCCUUUAAUCUGCAUCCCAUGACCCGUGGGAAACGCCAAGAGCAGAGUCUCUGCUUGGCAGAAAGUCUCCCGUCUUAAUGCUGCUUAAGUGCUCUCUGUAUUCCUGUGAUCAUCCGGGUGACGCACGAACGGCUCUGCGUUUAUGUGCCAUGACGCUUUCAAUAAACACCUACAAGGAUGCAGCCUCCUGUUUCAAUCACACCAUGUCAUCGUUCAUCAUACCGGAUAUCAUCGUUUACCUUAAACAAGUUCAAAAUGGCGGUAGACGGGUAAGCCGCGUCGUAGGGGUACAUCUCAAUAAACAGCGAGAUGUCACAUGUCCGUGUCUAACCUCUUACAACACAACCAAACCCAUUACGAACUGCUGAAAGCAGGCAUGAUGGCGUUACGAUAUUCCCAGAAGGACGUGUUGUGCAAGACGCCAGAAAGCCCACACGACCCAAGAACAAAAACACGUGACAACAUGAGACAGAAAAAAAAAAAAAAAACCCAAGUAGUUCCUCUGGUAUAAAAGGAAGUUAGUACUGUACAUGUUAACCACAGAGACAAAUACAAUGGGAUAAAAACAAGCUUUCGUUUUUAGAUAAAACAAAACAUUUCAAACCUACACAUCAGAUCUCAAAUACUUUUAUUGGAAACAUUACAGAGAGCCACGCAGACAUCCUUUUGUUCAUCAGCAGACUUCCUGGUUCAUCUGUUGAACUAGGAAGAAAACAAAAAAACAAAAACCCAAGGUCAGAGGAUAUCAUAAACGGGAAUAACACGAGCACUAAAGUUACAAAUUAGUCCUGUACAUCGCAAUAAAGCGUUUAUGUCAUCCUUUGUGCCCAUUAUUUUACGUAUAUAGACGUCACUGCGUUCUUAUAAAGCUAAUGAAUGCUUAUUGCGGCUGUACAGCAGGACUACGGUCAUGAACUUCCCCCGAGCGAUACUACUGUCCAUCACAUGACCAACCAAUGAGGUGCAAAGUAAACAACUGCAGUCCCUGAAAGCCUGCAAAUGCUUUUCAGUAUCGGAGACGUUAUGUUGCAAAAGAUUGAAAUGUUGCCCUUCAGACAGCAGGCAUCUCGUCAAUCCAAAAGAAACCUGCACGGUAUCUCUCAGGGCGCUGAUGUGGGAUCACGGCGUUAAGGAUCGCCAGUGGUGAUACGUGGCUGACCCCCUUUGAAAUGUGAUCCCGUCUGCUGCUUAGAGAGUCUCACCGUUCGUUUCGGAGAAGCCCACGGCCACGACAAUGUGCCCACUUCAAAACCUGUCCAAAAUAAUAAAUAAAUAAAUAAAUACAUUUUAAAAAUUGUUAACGUUACAAUCAAACGCAAAACUAACAGCAGGCAUGCUUUAAACGUGUUCCCAGUGGACCGUGCCGGUUCUCCCGACACGAUCCACUGGGAUGGGAUAUGCUUUCCGGUCAUGUCCACAGCAAGUCGAGAACUUCACCUCCCGAAAGCCUUGGUAUAUGACCGAUUAAAUAAAAACCACUCAACUGUCU